CCACCAGGGCGGGGCGGAGGGUGGUAUGUUCUGGGCGCGCCGACACAGGAUCCAUCUGAGGUCCCGGCUGCCUGGAGCCAAGAAAGCCUGCAGUGCAGACUGCAUGCUUGCCUCUCCCCACUUGGGGCAGGACUCUUCUCAGAGCAUCUGGGAGGAAAUGCCUCUGACCGGCCUCGGGAUGGGCAGCAGUGCAAGGAGGACGAUUCAGGCUCUGUGUUUCCUGCUGCUGCUCCUUGGAGCCGGCUCUGCCAAGAAUCUCUGGAAGCGGGCGCUGCAGGCGAGGCUGCCAGAGAAGUCCCGAGCCGAGGAGCUGAGCGCGCUGGGGCCCGGCCCCCGGCAGCCCCGCGCCGACCGCUGCCCGCCGCCCCCACGCCUGCUGCCCCCCGGCGCCUGCCAGGCCGUGCGCUGCCAGGCCGACGCCGACUGCCCGCGCCACAAGCGCUGCUGCUACAACGGCUGCGUCUACGCCUGCCUGGAGGCAGUGCCACCCCCUCCGGUCUUAGACUGGCUGGUGCAGCCGAAACCUCGAUGGCUUGGUGGCAACGGCUGGCUCCUUGAUGGUCCCGAGGAGAUCUUGCAAGCAGAGGCAUGCAGCACCACCGAGGAUGGAGCUGAGCCACUGCUGUGUCCCACGGGCUACGAGUGCCACAUCUUGAGCCCAGGUGACAUGGCCGAGGGCAUCCCCAACCGCGGGCAGUGUGUCAAGCAGCGUCGGCAGACAGAUGGAAGAUUCCUACGACAUAAAUUUCACAGAGAAUAUCCAGAUGGUGACUCCAAGAAUGUGGCCGAGCAUGGUCGGGGCCAGCAGAGGCACGUUCAGGGAGGCAGCGGCAUGCAGGUGCCGUCUAGUCGGUUCAGACUCAUACUGACCUCAUGUAACAGAAUAGAACUACCCCACAGGGUUUCCUAGACCGUAACCUUUAUGGAAGCAGAUUGCCAAGUCUUUCUCCCAUGAAGCCGCCGGCCAAUUUGCAAGAACAUUUUUCCAACUUUCUGCUAAGCCGCAGAAACAGUUGGGUGGGAACAGUUUGACCCCCGGAGAUCGCACCUUGCUCAGCAGAGCAUGAUUCCUGAGAACCAUAGAUUCUGGACUCCUGGCCCUCCAUCCCCGCUGGGCCUCUACCUGACUGGGUCCCUGCUUUACCAGCCUGGAAGUGAGACACCCUUAGAAGCCCACCUGACCCUGCAGUCCACCAGCUCUUACCCCAGGAAGGAGACUCCUCCUCUGUGAGCAUCAAGGAAGUCCCUUCUGAGACAGAGGUCAAUGUCUUGGCCACUUACAGAUUUCUUCCAGACAUGACACUGGGAGGCAUGCACCCAUUCCAAAUGCCCUCUAAAUAAAUUUGCUUAUCAUAAUA